rnacentral:lncRNA from 1 species
UUUUAAACCAAUCUUCCAGGAGAUUAAUCAAUGAAAUUUAUAAGUUUUAUCAACGUAUAAAAUUUUUUUCAUCUUCUGGGACUCAUAGAAUACAAUCUGUGGAGGGCUUUUCUAAUUUCGUAUUUGACUAUUUCAGAAAGAAAGGUUAUCUUUUACUGGUGAGCACAGUCAUUGCUCUGCAGAUGGGCUAGGAUUCAAAG